AGUGAACGCUGGCGGUAGGCCUAACACAUGCAAGUCGAACGGCAGCACAGUAAGAGCUUGCUCUUACGGGUGGCGAGUGGCGGACGGGUGAGGAAUACAUCGGAAUCUACUUUUUCGUGGGGGAUAACGUAGGGAAACUUACGCUAAUACCGCAUACGACCUACGGGUGAAAGCAGGGGAUCUUCGGACCUUGCGCGAUUGAAUGAGCCGAUGUCGGAUUAGCUAGUUGGCGGGGUAAGGGCCCACCAAGGCGACGAUCCGUAGCUGGACUGAGAGGAUGAUCAGCCACACUGGAACUGAGACACGGUCCAGACUCCUACGGGAGGCAGCAGUGGGGAAUAUUGGACAAUGGGCGCAAGCCUGAUCCAGCCAUACCGCGUGGGUGAAGAAGGCCUUCGGGUUGUAAAGCCCUUUUGUUGGGAAAGAAAAGCAGCAGGUUAAUACCCCGCUGUUCUGACGGUACCCAAAGAAUAAGCACCGGCUAACUUCGUG
rnacentral:rRNA from 1 species